ACGAACGCUGGCGGCAUGCCUAACACAUGCAAGUCGAACGAGACCUUCGGGUCUAGUGGCGCACGGGUGCGUAACGCGUGGGAACCUGCCCUUAGGUUCGGAAUAACUCCCCGAAAGGGGUGCUAAUACCGGAUAAUGUCUUCGGACCAAAGAUUUAUCGCCUUUGGAUGGGCCCGCGUUGGAUUAGCUAGUUGGUAGGGUAAAAGCCUACCAAGGCGACGAUCCAUAGCUGGUCUGAGAGGAUGAUCAGCCACACUGGGACUGAGACACGGCCCAGACUCCUACGGGAGGCAGCAGUGGGGAAUAUUGGACAAUGGGCGAAAGCCUGAGCCAGCAAUGCCGCGUGAGUGAUGAAGGCCUUAGGGUUGUAAAGCUCUUUUACCCGGGAUGAUAAUGACAGUACCGGGAGAAUAAGCUCCGGCUAACUCCGUG
rnacentral:rRNA from 1 species